rnacentral:rRNA from 1 species
GACGAACGCUGGCGGCGUGCCUAAUACAUGCAAGUCGAACGCAGUGGGGACGGGUGAGUAACACGUGGCUAACCUCCCAUCAGAGGGGAUAACCCUUGGAAACAGGUGCUAAACCAAUAUUGAUGGAUGGACUCGCGGUGCAUUAGCUAGUUGGUGAGGUAACGGCUCAACAAGGCCACGAUGCAUAGCCGACCGGAGAGGUGGACCGGCCACACUGGGACUGAGACACGGCCCAGACUCCUACGGGAGGCAGCAGUAGGGAAUCUUAGACAAUGGACGAAAGUCUGACCGAGCAACGCCGCGUGAAUGAAGAAGGUUUUCGGGUCGUAAAACACUGUAGGUAGGGAGGCGGUAUCUAACCAGAAAGCCACGGCUAACUACGUGCCAGCCGCCGCGGUAAUUC